rnacentral:pre_miRNA from 1 species
CAACUACUCCCUCUGUCCCAAAUUUCUUUUCUUAGAUUUGUCUAGAUACGGAUGUAUCUAAUACUAAAAUGUGACUUGAUACAUCUGUAUCUAGACAAAUCUAAGACAAGAAUUUUGGGACGGAGGGAGUACUUU